rnacentral:rRNA from 1 species
GACGAACGCUGGCGGCGUGCUUAACACAUGCAAGUCGAACGGAAAGGCCCUGCUUUUGUGGGGUGCUCGAGUGGCGAACGGGUGAGUAACACGGGAGUAACCUGCCCUUGACUUUGGGAUAACUUCAGGAAACUGGGGCUAAUACCGGAUAGGAGCGCCUGCUGCAUGGUGGGGGUUGGAAAGUUUCGGCGGUUGGGGAUGGACUCGCGGCUUAUCAGCUUGUUGGUGGGGUAGUGGCUUACCAAGGCUUUGACGGGUAGCCGGCCUGGGAGGGUGACCGGCCACAUUGGGACUGAGAUACGGCCCAGACUCCUACGGGAGGCAGCAGUGGGGAAUAUUGCACAAUGGGCGGAAGCCUGAUGCAGCAGCGCCGCGUGCGGGAUGACGGCCUUCGGGUUGUAAACCGCUUUCGCCUGUGACGAAGCGUGAGUGACGGUAAUGGGUAAAGAAGCACCGGCUAACUACGUG